rnacentral:rRNA from 1 species
CGAACGAGAGCGACCGGUGCUUGCACUGGUCGAUCUAGUGGCGAACGGGUGAGUAACACGUGGGUAACCUGCCCAUCAGAGGGGGAUAACAUUCGGAAACGGAUGCUAAAACCGCAUAGGUCUUCGAACCGCAUGGUUUGAAGAGGAAAAGAGGCGCGAGCUUCUGCUGAUGGAUGGACCCGCGGUGCAUUAGCUAGUUGGUGAGGUAACGGCUCACCAAGGCCGUGAUGCAUAGCCGACUCGCUGAGAGGGUGAUCGGCCACAUUGGGACUGAGACACGGCCCAAACUCCUACGGGAGGCAGCAGUAGGGAAUCUUCCGCAAUGGACGCAAGUCUGACGGAGCAACGCCGCGUGAGUGAAGAAGGUUUUCGGAUCGUAAAACUCUGUUGUUAGAGAAGAACAAGUGCUAGAGUAACUGUUAGCGCCUUGACGGUAUCUAACCAGAAAGCCACGGCUAACUACGUGCCAGCAGCCGCGGUAAUACGUAGGUGGCAAGCGUUGUCUGGAUUUAUUGGGCGUAAAGCGAGCGCAGGCGGUUCCUUAAGUCUGAUG